CCCUUAGAUGUUCUGGGCCGCACGCGUGCUACACUGAGUGGAUCAGCGGGUCAGGUUGCGCGAAAGUGUUUCCUAAUCUUGAAAUCCGCUCGUGAUGGGGAUUGACGGUUGCAAUUUUCCGUCAUGAACGAGGAAUACCUUGUAAGCGCGGGUCAUCAUCCCGCGCUGAAUACGUCCCUGUCCUUUGUACACACCGCCCGUCGCUCCUACCGAUUGAGUGGUCCGGUGAGGCUUUGGGAUCUGAGCAAAAAGAGCGUUUCGCUGUUUCUGCUCGGAAAACUCAGUCGAACCUUAUCAUUUAGAGGAAGGAGAAGUCGUAACA
rnacentral:rRNA from 1 species